rnacentral:misc_RNA from 1 species
AAGUCGUAACAAGGUUUCCGUAGGUGAACCUGCGGAAGGAUCAUUAUUGAAUAAAUCUGGCGUGGUUGUAGCUGGCUCUCCGGAGCAUGUGCUCGCCCGUCACCUUUAUCUUUCCACCUGUGCACACACUGUAGUCCUGGAUACCUCUCGCCGCAAGGCGGAUGCAGGGAUUGUCGGUCCUCCUCGAGAGGUCGGCUCUCUCUGAAUUUCCAGGGCUAUGAACUUUACACACCCCAAACGUAUGUUAUAGAAUGUCAUCAUAAGGCUUCGUGCCUAUAAACCUAUACAACUUUCAGCAACGGAUCUCUUGGCUCUC